rnacentral:rRNA from 1 species
UACGAAGGGGGCUAGCGUUGUUCGGAAUCACUGGGCGUAAAGCGCACGUAGGCGGAUUUUUAAGUCAGGGGUGAAAUCCCGAGGCUCAACCUCGGAACUGCCUUUGAUACUGAGGAUCUUGAGUUCGGGAGAGGUGAGUGGAACUGCGAGUGUAGAGGUGAAAUUCGUAGAUAUUCGCAAGAACACCAGUGGCGAAGGCGGCUCACUGGCCCGAUACUGACGCUGAGGCACGAAAGCGUGGGGAGCAAACAGG